rnacentral:rRNA from 1 species
AAACGACUCUCGGCAACGGAUAUCUCGGCUCUCGCAUCGAUGAAGAACGUAGCGAAAUGCGAUACUUGGUGUGAAUUGCAGAAUCCCGUGAACCAUCGAGUCUUUGAACGCAAGUUGCGCCCGAAGCCUUUGGGCCGAGGGCACGCCUGCCUGGGCGUCACGCA